rnacentral:ncRNA from 1 species
AGAGUAGAACGCGCGCGUGGCAUAUGCCGUAGUGCCGCCGGAUGGGAGGUUGCCGGCGGACGAAACGGGACUUCCCGUGCGGUGCGCGUUCGCAGCCGCU